GUACACAAAAAUGCACAUAUUGUGAGCUCGAUGAGUAGGGCGGGACACGUGGUAUCCUGUCUGAAUAUGGGGGGACCAUCCUCCAAGGCUAAAUACUCCUGACUGACCGAUAGUGAACCAGUACCGUGAGGGAAAGGCGAAAAGAACCCCGGCGAGGGGAGUGAAAAAGAACCUGAAACCGUGUACGUACAAGCAGUGGGAGCCUCUUUAUGGGGUGACUGCGUACCUUUUGUAUAAUGGGUCAGCGACUUAUAUUCUGUAGCAAGGUUAACCGAAUAGGGGAGCCGAAGGGAAACCGAGUCUUAACUGGGCGUUAAGUUGCAGGGUAUAGACCCGAAACCCGGUGAUCUAGCCAUGGGCAGGUUGAAGGUUGGGUAACACUAACUGGAGGACCGAACCGACUAAUGUUGAAAAAUUAGCGGAUGACUUGUGGCUGGGGGUGAAAGGCCAAUCAAACCGGGAGAUAGCUGGUUCUCCCCGAAAGCUAUUUAGGUAGCGCCUCGUGAAUUCAUCUCCGGGGGUAGAGCACUGUUUCGGCAAGGGGGUCAUCCCGACUUACCAACCCGAUGCAAACUGCGAAUACCGGAGAAUGUUAUCACGGGAGACACACGGCGGGUGCUAACGUCCGUCGUGAAGAGGGAAACAACCCAGACCGCCAGCUAAGGUCCCAAAGUCAUGGUUAAGUGGGAAACGAUGUGGGAAGGCCCAGACAGCCAGGAUGUUGGCUUAGAAGCAGCCAUCAUUUAAAGAAAGCGUAAUAGCUCACUGGUCGAGUCGGCCUGCGCGGAAGAUGUAACGGGGCUAAACCAUGCACCGAAGCUGCGGCAGCGACACUAUGUGUUGUUGGGUAGGGGAGCGUUCUGUAAGCCUGUGAAGGUGGCCUGUGAGGGUUGCUGGAGGUAUCAGAAGUGCGAAUGCUGACAUAAGUAACGAUAAAGCGGGUGAAAAGCCCGCUCGCCGGAAGACCAAGGGUUCCUGUCCAACGUUAAUCGGGGCAGGGUGAGUCGACCCCUAAGGCGAGGCCGAAAGGCGUAGUCGAUGGGAAACAGGUUAAUAUUCCUGUACUUGGUGUUACUGCGAAGGGGGGACGGAGAAGGCUAUGUUGGCCGGGCGACGGUUGUCCCGGUUUAAGCGUGUAGGCUGGUUUUCCAGGCAAAUCCGGAAAACCAAGGCUGAGGCGUGAUGACGAGGCACUACGGUGCUGAAGCGACAAAUGCCCUGCUUCCAGGAAAAGCCUCUAAGCAUCAGGUAACAUCAAAUCGUACCCCAAACCGACACAGGUGGUCAGGUAGAGAAUACCAAGGCGCUUGAGAGAACUCGGGUGAAGGAACUAGGCAAAAUGGUGCCGUAACUUCGGGAGAAGGCACGCUGAUAUGUAGGUGAAGCGACUUGCUCGUGGAGCUGAAAUCAGUCGAAGAUACCAGCUGGCUGCAACUGUUUAUUAAAAACACAGCACUGUGCAAACACGAAAGUGGACGUAUACGGUGUGACGCCUGCCCGGUGCCGGAAGGUUAAUUGAUGGGGUUAGCGGUAACGCGAAGCUCUUGAUCGAAGCCCCGGUAAACGGCGGCCGUAACUAUAACGGUCCUAAGGUAGCGAAAUUCCUUGUCGGGUAAGUUCCGACCUGCACGAAUGGCGUAAUGAUGGCCAGGCUGUCUCCACCCGAGACUCAGUGAAAUUGAACUCGCUGUGAAGAUGCAGUGUACCCGCGGCAAGACGGAAAGACCCCGUGAACCUUUACUAUAGCUUGACACUGAACAUUGAGCCUUGAUGUGUAGGAUAGGUGGGAGGCUUUGAAGUGUGGACGCCAGUCUGCAUGGAGCCGACCUUGAAAUACCACCCUUUAAUGUUUGAUGUUCUAACGUUGGCCCGUAAUCCGGGUUGCGGACAGUGUCUGGUGGGUAGUUUGACUGGGGCGGUCUCCUCCUAAAGAGUAACGGAGGAGCACGAAGGUUGGCUAAUCCUGGUCGGACAUCAGGAGGUUAGUGCAAUGGCAUAAGCCAGCUUGACUGCGAGCGUGACGGCGCGAGCAGGUGCGAAAGCAGGUCAUAGUGAUCCGGUGGUUCUGAAUGGAAGGGCCAUCGCUCAACGGAUAAAAGGUACUCCGGGGAUAACAGGCUGAUACCGCCCAAGAGUUCAUAUCGACGGCGGUGUUUGGCACCUCGAUGUCGGCUCAUCACAUCCUGGGGCUGAAGUAGGUCCCAAGGGUAUGGCUGUUCGCCAUUUAAAGUGGUACGCGAGCUGGGUUUAGAACGUCGUGAGACAGUUCGGUCCCUAUCUGCCGUGGGCGCUGGAGAACUGAGGGGGGCUGCUCCUAGUACGAGAGGACCGGAGUGGACGCAUCACUGGUGUUCGGGUUGUCAUGCCAAUGGCACUGCCCGGUAGCUAAAUGCGGAAGAGAUAAGUGCUGAAAGCAUCUAAGCACGAAACUUGCCCCGAGAUGAGUUCUCCCUGACUCCUUGAGAGUCCUGAAGGAACGUUGAAGACGACGACGUUGAUAGGCCGGGUGUGUAAG
rnacentral:rRNA from 1 species